UAACCUAUUUUGCACCCUACUUGUCGAUAACAGUAGGCGUUUAACAGAUACCUUUAAAAACAAAACCCAAAAUAAAAAAGAGUGACAGAGUGGAGGAGACAGUGGGGACUGGGGAGGCCUUAGUGAAGAGAUUAGGUUCAUUCAUUCUUAUUUAUUAAACAUCCUGCUGGGGGGCAUGUGUCUCUAAUUUAGGGUGUUUUUCCAGCUCCUCUUAAGGAUGGGCACCUGCAAAUGCCCUGAUAUUUAAUAGCCUUCGGCUGGUUCCUUCUCUAACCCUACAGGCUUUCCACUAGUUGCCAUCCAAUGGGGCAAGUGGCAAUGCCCCUUUAAAGCCCCAGUGGUUUCUGGCUGUUUUGUUACCCUUUAUAAGGCCCAUGUGGGCAGCAAUUUUAGAAAGUUUUGGAGAGGAGACAGAGUGUGCCCCUCUGGGGGUGGGUAAGUAAGGGCCCUGAUGCCCUUUGGUUUUCUUAUAUUUUAUUCAGUUGGAGGAGUUAAUGCUUUUUGAUUUGGUGCUGCUGGUAAAUGUGGGGGCUGGGGGAUUUUUUUUCUGGCUUGGGAGUGAUUUGGGUUGAUGCUUUUGGGGGGCAACUUAAGGUUGGGCUAAUUGAUGUUGACUUUAUGGGCGUUAACAGGGCUGGAGGUGGGGCGGUUUUCUAUGGAGGGCUCAGAAUUGUUUGGUUUUGAUGUGGUUAGUUUGGGUGGGGAUACUUGUUAACUUCAUUGAUUAUGGUGAGAGAAGGGGUGGAGAAAUGGGCUGGUCUCACAGGCUUAAAAUUGAGGGUGGGGUGAGCAAAUACUGAGAACUGACUGAAAUAAGGGUGGGGGGACUUUGGGGCCUGGAGUUGGGAGUUAUAUGGCUCUCACCUAAGUACUUUCAGUGCUCAAAUGUAAUUGAAAAAAUAAAUAUCUGAUUUGGGUUGAUGAUCUAAAAUUGGGAUAACUGGUAUUUACUGCAUUAACUUGGGGGGGUGGUGACCAGGGCUGGAUAAUCCAAUGUCAACUGCAUUAGUGAUGUGCGGGUUGGGGAGUUGAAAAGUAUCCUGGGAGAGGGUUGGGGGCUGGGGGAUGUUUGAUACCAUUGAUGUGUCGAUGUUGCUGACGUGAUGAUGGUAUUAAGUGUUUACUAUGUGCCAAGCACUAUUCCAAGUGUCGGGGUUGGUGCAGCAUAGUCAGGCUGGACACUGAUGUGUGGGUUUAAGGAUGUUUGUGUCCCUGCUUCUGAUGUGGCUAAAAUACUUUGCCCUCAGAGGGGCAAGGCUUGGUUUUGGCUGGCUAGGAGAUAAACGUGGUGUCCAAGAGGAGAAGCGUCUGAGUGGGACAACAAAAUAUCUUUGGAGAGGAGGUGGCCGAGGGGUUGUGAUACUGUGAAAUCAGCCUUUCGUUCAUUCAAUCAUAUUUGAGCACUUGCUUUGUGCAGAGCACUGCACUAAGUGCUUGAGGGGUGAUGACUAGUGAUCUGGGUCUGAGGAGGAAGGGAGGGGAAAUCACGGGGUGCAUGCUGUGUGUCUCUUUGUAUGUCUCUGUGUGUGUGUCUGUAUCCCUGUGGUGGUGCUUUCUUUCCUGUCCUCCUGCCAGCCCCUAUUUAUGGUUGAAUGGGAAACACAAGCUAAAGUCGCCAAGGUUUGUGCCCUUCGGCAGUCUCAACUGUUGAAGGGAUGGCAGGGAUGAAGGACCAGACUAGCACUGGGUAAAUAUGCAGGGACUUGCCCGUCGAGGGCUCUUAAACUGGAAGCCCUUCAAGGGCAGGAUUGGGCCUACCUCAGCUGGGGGGUUCCCAAUUCCUUUACCCCCCAGCUACAAGUCAUCGCUUCACCCCUGUGGGAUUCCAUUACAGCACUCGCAAAAGCCCAGCAAUGAAUCGGGGUUUAAUAGACAUACUGCUGUGCAGUACACUGUAAGCUUGUUGUUGGCAGGGAAUGUCUGUUUCUUCUUUGUCCUCCUGCCAGCCCCCAUUUAGCUUGUGUUUCCCAUCCAACCAGAAAAUCACCAAGGCCGGUGCCCUUUGGCAAUCUCAACUGCUGGAGGGGUGGCAGGGGUGAAGGACCAGCCUGGCACUGGGUAAGUAUGCAGGGACCUGGCUUCAUAAUGAGAGAAGGCAGAAGCCAAGCUUCUUUCUGCUCACCUGGAGAAGACUUCCACCCUGCACCCACAAAGUGCUAGAGGGUGAGGGGCCACUUCUGCAAGGCUAAACCCUCCCCCCCCAAUAUCUGUAAGUGGGGGGUGCACAUCCAGCUCCCCAUCCACUGGAAACCUCCAGCAUCCUCCAUGGCUUCAGCGACGACGGUAUCGGAGCGUCAGACUGUAAGCCCCCGGAGGGCAGGAACCCAGACCCGCUGACGGGAGCGGUGGAUGGCAGUCUCGUGCCCGUCAAGGGCUCUUAAACUGGAAGCCCUUCGAGGGCAGGGUUGGGCCUACCUCUGCUGGCUGUCGGGUUCCCAAUUCCUGUACCCCCCAGAUACAAGUCAUCCCUUCACCCCUGUGGAAUUCCAUUACAGCUCCCCCAAAAGCCCAGCAAUGAGUUGGCGUUCAGUACACACACUGGAGUGCAGCACACUGUAAGCUUGUUGGGCCAGGGAAUGUCUGUUCUUCUGUAUUCUCCCAAGCGCUUUGUACAGCGCUCUGCACACAGUAAGCGCCGGGGAAAUAACCGAUUGAAAUGGGUGUCCUUUAGCAAUUUCUCUCCUUCCAGUCGGCUCUUAGUUCAAUAAGUUCGAAUACUGUUCAAUCAACGCUAUUGCUGGCUUCAAAGCAGUACCGCCACCUUUGCUCUUCUGUGUACUAGUUUACUUGGUUAUUUUAAUCUACUCCUACUGCCGGUUCAAGUUUACCCGAGGUUGAGCGUGCACAAUUUCACGUACCGACUUUCUCUCUGCCGUGUAUAUAGAUUGUAAGCUGCUGGAGAGCAGGGACCAUGGAGGCUGUAUAGUGUUUAACUCUGUUCCAAAGUCAAUGUUUCCCUCUCUAGACCACAAGCUUGCUGCAGGACAGGAAGGUGCCUGCUAGGGGGUCAUAUUAUACUCGCCCACAUGCUUAGUACAGUGCUCUGCGCAAGGUAAAUGCUCCGUAAAUAGUACUGAAUUAGAUUGUGAGGUCCCACUGCGUCUCCUACACUCAAAUCGCCCAAGAGGUUGUUGAAUAGGGUGUGUCUGUCAGACCAAAUGUGACCCAAAUGUAGGGUCCCGUGCUCCCUCGGGCUCUACUGUCGUGGGGGGUGGCAGGGGUGAAGGACCAGACUGGCAUUGGGUAACUGGGCAGUGACUUAGCUUCAUAGGGAGAGAAGCCAAGCUUCUUUCUGCCUACCUGGAGAUGCCUUCCGGACACUUCUGCUACAAGGUCCGAGGAAGGAGCCUGAGGCCUAGAUGCAGCGUGGGAGACCCGGCCCCCUCAUCCAUCCUGGCCUACUGGAGGACAUCUGGGUGCGGACAGAACGGAAGCCAUGGCGUGGACAAAAACAGGACAACCAUGCCCCAUGGACGAUGGAAGACCGACUAACCAACCACCUGCUCACUGGGUGGCACAGCCACUGCACCGGGCUCCCGCCACCUAGCCACCCCCUAAAUGUAUCCCCUACCUACCAGAUGAUGCCAUUUCCUUUAGGGGGAAAAGGGCGAACGCCGCAUCGGUGGGUGCCACAAAAGUCUGGUAACUCCAGGAGGUGAUGGAGGUGUGUGUGUGCCUUUUGUGUGAGAUCAAGGGCCGGGACCAGAGCAGGGGUGAGAGGCAGCGGGUGGAGGGGUCGUUCCUCUUUGAGGGGGGAGACGGGUACUCGAAACAAGGGUCUGGAGCUCUGGACAGGCAUUCAUCACACGGACCUUUCGGUGGGCGUGAGCAACGGCUGGGGCCCUUAAUUCUAUAGACAGUGCAUCCUCCCUCACUGUCUGGUCCAUUGAGUUCCCUGCCCACCUCCUGGCUUCGAGAAGAGACCCUUUCCUGCCCAAGGGGGGGUGCCCCUGGGGGAGCGGGGUUUAGGGACAGGAAGAGUCAGGAGUGUGCUUGUGUUUGUGUGCGUGUGUCUACCGUGUGGUAUCCAUCCCUCCUGGAGGAGCAGGAAGAGGGGUGGGGAAGCUGAGUAGCAAAUCCUACAGUGGGAAAUGCAAAGUGGUCCCACCUCCUAUCAAAGGAAAUGGCACAGUCUGGUUCAUUUCCCCUCCCUGGGCUCUGUAAGGCCAAAAUGAAUCUCUCUGGAAUAAAAUGUAUACUUUUUUUUUUAAAA